rnacentral:rRNA from 1 species
AAUGAACGCUGGCGGCAGGCCUAACACAUGCAAGUCGAACGGAUCCUUCGGGAUUAGUGGCGGACGGGUGAGUAACGCGUGGGAACGUGCCCUUUGGUUCGGAAUAGCCUCGGGAAACUGGGAGUAAUACCGGAUAAGCCCUCCGGGGGAAAGAUUUAUCGCCAAAGGAUCGGCCCGCGUUGGAUUAGGUAGUUGGUGGGGUAAUGGCCUACCAAGCCGACGAUCCAUAGCUGGUUUGAGAGGAUGAUCAGCCACACUGGGACUGAGACACGGCCCAUACUCCUACGGGAGGCAGCAGUGGGGAAUCUUAGACAAUGGGGGAAACCCUGAUCUAGCCAUGCCGCGUGAUCGAUGAAGGCCUUAGGGUUGUAAAGAUCUUUCAGUUGGGAAGAUAAUGACGGUACCAACAGAAGAAGCCCCGGCUAACUCCGUGCCAGCCGCCGCCGUAA